rnacentral:lncRNA from 1 species
UGGGCCUUUAGUUUUAGCCCACCUCUGCUGGGUUCACUAAAGGGGAACCGACGGCUGGGUUGAUGUGAACUCAGAGCCGGUCCCACCUUGGCUCGGCCAGGCACCCCAUCUCCCACCUGGGAAAUGGGGAGCAGUUAGGGCUGGAAUCCUGGGGAAGAGAAGUUCUUUCUCUGUUGGGCUGCUGAUGGGUGCUGAGGCCAUCCCGGGAGUGGCGGUGGAGAGCCCCCCUGAGCAGGACAGCAGCACAGAGGGCAGGCAGCCAAGCCAAGAGGCUGGGAGGGCCGAUCCCUGCUGGUGGCGUCGAGCACCCAGGUACAGCCUCACCUGAAGCUCUCUGCCUUUAGACGGCCUAGUUACAGAAAUUGUUCUCUCCUGCUUUGUUCGUUUGCUAGUUCAAGCCCCUUGGGUUUCUGUCACAGGCUAUCAAAAGAAUCCUGGGGCCGGGUCGGCAGCAUAGUGGUUAAGCUCCUGCACUCCUCUUCAGCGGCCCCAGGUUUGCAGGUUUGGGCCCCAGGUGCAGACACUCACAUUGCUCAUCAGCCAUUGCUGUGGCAGGUGUCCCACAUGGAAAAUAGCGGAAAAUUGGCACAGAUGUUAGCUCAGGGCCAAUCUUCCUCACAACACAAAAGGAAAAGAAUAAACCUUCUGACUGUUCCUUUCAGCUGGCAAAUGGAGCACUCUGGCAUGGCUACAACAUGGAGGAUUUAGGCUAGCUUCAAGGAAGAACUUCCAGAUAACACUGCAAGGCUCCAGUCUAACCUGGAGCCCAACUGGACUCAAGCCAUAUCUGUUGGGGGCCUGCUAUAGACUGCUACCCAAGUUAAUCCUCGUUUUGGAGGACAAGACUGAGGCUCAGAGAAGGGAGGCAAGUGGCCAUAGCGAGGACGUGUGGACCAGGCAGCAGGCCCAGACGCUGCUGCUACUCUCUGGGGAGGUGGCCGAGGUGGCUUGCCCGCGUGCCGGGGGCUCUGGCGCCAGUGGCACGUGUGCUGGGAGCGCCUGAGCCAUGGUGGCUGCACGGGCUGCCCAGAGGCGCCCAGAGGGCUUGCGCACACAGCGGGCCGGCUCUUGGCCCGGCCCCGCCCGGCUCCCCUCCCGGCUUUGUCUUGCUUUGCUUGGGGGAGUCACGCUCAGGUGACCACCAGGCCCAGUGUCUGGAGCCUGUACAGGGGAGGCCACAGCCUGCGCCGCCCGCCGGCCCUCCGGACACCCCUUCCUUCCUUCGGGCCUUGCGGGACCCUGUUCCCCACUUGCACAGCGGAGGUCUUUCCAGAAUACGCAGGGCACCUCGCUCCUUCUGGAAUGCGAUGGGUCCCUCGCUGCCCUUUCCGCGUCACCCUGGAACGCAGCUCGGGUCCUGCUUUCUUUGCCUCGUUGCCUCCAGAGGCCGCCACAGGAGGGCCCGGGCGGACGGUGCACCAAGCUCAGCCCCCAAGGGCCCUGAGGCGAGAGCUGCCCACCAGGGACCUCGCACCAGCUGAGGAGGCUGCUGAGGCCCCGAGGGGCGGACACAGGGCUCCGGCCAAAGGGACCCCAAAGGCUUCGUGCUGGCUGGGGGCUUCUGGCCGUGCUGGGGGUCGAGGUCCCUGCGGUGUCUGAGGGCCCGCUGUGUGCAGAGAAGCAAGGACAGCGGCCGGCCCAGAGCUGUUCACAGCCCAAGCGCGGACGAGCCAGCCAGGCAGACAGAACCGCAGCUCACGGGCCGUUUCCAGGGGUGAAGGGUGGCGUCGGGGCAGAGGCCCACGUCUGCUGGGGAACUACUUAAGUACAGAGAAGUUUUAGCUGAGACUUGCAGGCUUCCAGUGAGAUAUGAGUUUGGCUCAAAUAAUGGAAAACUCUAUUAAGAGUGGCUUAAACCACAAAGACAUCUAAUUUGUAAUGUUUAAAAAUGAUGUGAGAGACGGGAAGUCCAGACGUGGUCUGGUGGCCCGACAAUGUCAUCGGUGACCCAGAAGCCACCCCCUCUCUAUCCCACCAUUAACAGAAUGUUAGUGUCACUCCCUCAUGACUGCAGUGUGGCUGCCUCCAUUCCAGCCAUCAUAUCUGCACAGUCAGGGUUCAACCCGGAAGCAAGGGGGCAUCUCAACUCAGGGCGCCAGGGCAAAGGUAGAUUUUCAAAGCUCAUUCUAAUACUGAAAACCUGGAAGACUACAGAGCGAAUGCCAGGUGUCAAGCUUUUUGUUGGUAUGAAAUGGGAACGGCUGGCCACCUGCGACAGUCCCUCUAGGAGACGCUCUUCUGGAGCUGAGCUGGAGCCACUCUCUGGAUGGAGCAUGUGUCCCCAGCUCACCACAGUCCCCGCCACUCCCUCAGCUUGCCUCUGGCCCAGGGCCUCACCCACCUCUCUGGACCUGACCCCUGGAGGCAUCUGAGUUUGCGGUCCUCCCGUUAGCCCCACGGAGCUUCACUUCUUCACCCAAGACGUGAGGACAGCAGUGUCCGGCCUGGGUUAGACGCACUGGGAAUGCAGCCUCAGAGCAGGGGUUCACUGAGUGCCCCGAAGGCAGCUGAGACGAGGUGGGUGGGCGAGGCCCGGGACUAGGGGCUCAGGGAAGUGUCCCCGAGGAAUGCUGUGUCUUCUGACUCCAAAGCUGCACCCUGACCUCCUGCCCGUCUCUCACUCCCUCGUGCAUCACUGCAGCCAGGGAUCCCGCAAACCCUGGGCAUGCGGGGGCCACGGCCCCGGGGUCAGCACCAAGGGCACCAGCAACAGGCACCCAUCCAACACUCCAUCUCCAGCAGCUCAGAGAGCACAGCGCCCCCGAGGUACCACUGCCAGACCCACUUAUAGAGAGAAACUGAGCCUCCAAAGGGACCAGGGACCCGUCCAAGGUCACACAGACUUAGAAAGCUAGAAGCCAGGUCUGCCGGUCUCUCACACAAGCAGACAUCCCAGCCUCAGGCGAUGACAACCAGGUGACCUAAGCACAGAGCGGGCUGCGUGUGUCAUGGUGGGGGCGGGGUACUGGCCGGGCAGGCUGGGGAACAGAUGCCAGAAGGGCAGAGUCUCGCAGGGUGAGGGCACUGCUGUCUGGAGAGCAGAGGAAAGGCGCUCCUGCUGGAGGACCAGCUCAUGCUAAGGCCUGGAGGUGCGGCGGCCUGAGAAACACGGCUUGUACGUGACAGAGGGGCCUCUGGAAGCCACCGCCCUCACCUGUGGAGGCCCCUGGACUCCCCCUCCUCCCGGCUUGACCCCCGCCCCGGCAGCUGUGCCUCCAUCCAUCUCUCUGUCUGCCCUCCUCCGGCUGCCCCGAGGCCCAGCCCCUGAGCCGGCUCCUCCUCAGCAUCCUGCUCUUUCCACAUUGUCCGGUCUUGGCUCAGACACAACAGAACCCACAGGACAGACUCCUGCCCGCGGUGCCCUGCUGUCUCGCCUCCUGACCCCCGGGGCUUCCCGGGUGGCCCUGCGUGGCCCUGCGAGCUCCGCCUCAGAGAACUGCAAGUAAUCAACUAUCUUCUCAAUGGCAUCGUCUCUGGGUCCGCUGGCCUUGCUGAACCGCACAUGUUCCCUUGUCACUUUCUCUGUGAAACCUGCCCUCCCAGACCCUUUGCAGACGCUUAGCCUGAACAGAGGAAGAGCAAAGGAAGUGUGCGCCCUGUCACAGCAUCUUCGACAAGAGCCCACUGUGCACCUGAAGCCAGAAGCAUCUUCUCCAGCGGAGGCCGAGCACGUCGCUCCCUGCUCCUGCUCCCCUGCUCCUUAGAAACUGACCCAGGGCCCUUGCUGUGGAACUGAGCUUAGCCUAACGAGGCAGCUCAGAGGCAGGCGCCGGCCAGCCAGCCAGCGCCCAAGCUCACAGAAGAGACGGAGAAAGCCUCAUCAGCAGAGCGUUCCGUCAUCGCAGCUGACUGCUCUCCAGGCCUGAGCUGGGGGAUAUCGAAAGACGGAGAAAGCCUCAUCAGCAGAGCGUUCCGUCAUCGCAG